CAGGGCUUGAAGGCUGUGGGUGUGGGGCCCCAUAAUCAUUUGGUCCAGGACAGGCAGUAGGCGUCAGGGGGCGCCCUAAGGCUCCACGGCAUGUGCCUGUAUUGCUGGGACAUCGAGCCUUCCCAAGUCAACCCUGAAGGACCAAGACAACAUCAUCCUUCAGAGGUCACUGAGCGGCAGCUUGCAAAUAAACGUAUUCAGAAUAUGCAACACCUAAAGAAAGAGAAGAGGAGACUGAAUAAAAGGUUUUCAAGGCCUUCUCCUAUUCCAGAACCAGGACUCCUAUGGUCAUCUUGAUAAAGCAGGAGUCUAUUUGAAGGAAACCAUGCUCCAGACAGAAAUAUGUGGAUUGUGAACAUCAAGUGACAUAUCAUGAAUUGAUCAUCCACAAAAUAAAUGCAAUACUCCACCAUUUCGGAAAAAUAAACACAGUGCAAGUAUUUAAUAUCCAAGCUACAGGCUCU
rnacentral:lncRNA from 1 species